AUUACAUUUUGAUCAGGGGUCAAAUUGAACGCUGGCGGCAUGCCUUACCCUUGCAAGUCGAACGGCAGCAUGAAAAGCUUGCUCUCUGAUGGCGAGCGGCGAACGGGUGAGUAAAGCAUCGGACCGUCCCGGGUAGGGGGGGAUAACGUACCAAAGGUUACCCUAAUCCCGCAUACCCCCUGGGGGGGAAAGCAGGGAAUCGCAAAACCUUGCCCUAUACGAGGGGCCGAUGCCAAAUUAGCUAGUUGGUAGGGUAAAGGCCUACCAGGGCGACAAUCUGUACCGGGUCUGAAAGGAUGAUCCGCCACACUGGGACUGAGACACGGCCCAAACUCCUCCGGGAGGCAGCAGGGGGGAAUUUUGGACAAGGGGGGAAACCCUGAUCCACCCUUGCCGCGUGAGUGAAGAAGGCCUUCGGGUUGUAAAGCUCUUUCGGCUGGAAAGAAAUCGCACAGGCUAAUACCCUGUGUGGAUGACGGUACCAGCAUAAAAAGCACCG
rnacentral:rRNA from 1 species